UACGUAGGUCCCGAGCGUUGUCCGGAUUUAUUGGGCGUAAAGCGAGCGCAGGUGGUUUAUUAAGUCUGGUGUAAAAGGCAGUGGCUCAACCAUUGUAUGCAUUGGAAACUGGUAGACUUGAGUGCAGGAGAGGAGAGUGGAAUUCCAUGUGUAGCGGUGAAAUGCGUAGAUAUAUGGAGGCACACCGGUGGCGAAAGCGGCUCUCUGGCCUGUAACUGACACUGAGGCUCGAAAGCGUGGGGAGCAAACAGG
rnacentral:rRNA from 1 species